UGUAGCAAUACAGGACAGCGGCGAAAGGGAGAGGACAACACGGGAAUCUGCCUUGGGGACGAGGAUAGCGUCGGGAAACUGACAGUAAUACUCGAUAAUGUUUGCGGACCAAAGGUGUGAUUCCGCCCCAAGAUGAGCCCGUGCCCCAUUAGCUAGUUGGCGGUGUAAUAGACCACCAAGGCUAUGAUGGGUAGCUGGUGUGAGAGCACGACCAGCCUCACUGGCACUGAGACACUGGCCAGACACCUACGGGUGGCUGCAGUCGAGAAUCUUUGGCAAUGGACGAAAGUCUGACCAAGCGACGCCGCGUGCGGGAUGAAGGCCUUCGGGUUGUAAACCGCUGUCGUAGGGAAUCAAAUGUAUAGGGGUUCUCCCCUUUACUUGAGAGAUCCUAGGAGGAAGGAGAGGCUAAGCUCGUGCCAGCAGCCGCGGUAAGACGAGCUCUCCAAACGUUAUUCGGUAUCACUGGGCUUAAAGAGUUCGUAGGCGGCUUUGUAGGUGGGGUGUGAAAGCCCUCGGCUCAACCGAGGAACUGCGCCCCAAACCACAGGGCUUGAGGGAGAUAGGGGUAAGCGGAACAGAUGGUGGAGCGGUGAAAUGCAUUGAUAUCAUCUGGAACACCGGUGGCGAAGGCGGCUUACUGGAUCUUUUCUGACGCUGAGGAACGAAAGCUAGGGUAGCGAACGGGAUUAGAUACCCCGGUAGUCCUAGCCGUAAACGAUGAGCACUAGUCUGAGGAUCUGUCACAGAUUCUCGGACGUAGCGAAAGUGUUAAGUGCUCCGCCUGGGGAGUAUGGUCGCAAGGCUGAAACUCAAAGGAAUUGACGGGGGCUC
rnacentral:rRNA from 1 species